GUAGGGAAUCUUCCACAAUGGGCGAAAGCCUGAUGGAGCAAUGCCGCGUGAGUGAUGAAGGUUUUCGGAUCGUAAAGCUCUGUUGCCAGGGAAGAACGUCCGGGUGAGUAACUGCACCCGGAGUGACGGUACCUGAGAAGAAAGCCCCGGCUAACUACGUGCCAGCAGCCGCGGUAAUACGUAGGGGGCAAGCGUUGUCCGGAAUUAUUGGGCGUAAAGCGCGUGCAGGCGGCGGAUUAAGUCGGAUGUUUAAGAUCGGGGCUCAACCCCGAUUCGCAUCCGAAACUGGCCCGCUUGAGUGUAGGAGAGGAAAGUGGAAUUCCACGUGUAGCGGUGAAAUGCGUAGAGAUGUGGAGGAACACCAGUGGCGAAGGCGACUUUCUGGCCUAUAACUGACGCUGAGGCGCGAAAGCGUGGGGAGCAAACAGG
rnacentral:rRNA from 1 species